GAUGAACGCUGGCGGCGUGCCUAAUACAUGCAAGUCGAGCGAACGGACGAGAAGCUUGCUUCUCUUAUGUUAGCGGCGGACGGGUGAGUAACACGUGGAUACCCUACCUAUAAGACUGGGAUAACUUCGGGAAACCGUAGCUAAUACCGGUUAAUAUUUUGAACCGCAUGGUUCAAAAGUGAAAGACGGUCUUGCUGUCACUUAUAGAUGGAUCCGCGCUGCAUUAGCUAGUUGGUAAGGUAACGGCUUACCAAGGCAACGAUGCAUAGCCGACCUGAGAGGGUGAUCGGCCACACUGGAACUGAGACACGGUCCAGACUCCUACGGGAGGCAGCAGUAGGGAAUCUUCCGCAAUGGGCGAAAGCCUGACGGAGCAACGCCGCGUGAGUGAUGAAGGUCUUCGGAUCGUAAAACUCUGUUAUUAGGGAAGAACAUAUGUGUAAGUAACUGUGCACAUCUUGACGUUACCUAAUCAGAAAGCCACGGCUAACUACGUG
rnacentral:rRNA from 1 species